CCACUGGAUGGUCUGGCUCUACCCAGAAACUGACGAGCUACUUCAAGGUGGGGAGGGGAAAAGGGGCUUCUGGCAGCUGGUGGGGAUGUUAGAAUUUGGGGGGUGUUUUCUGAGGAGGAACAGACCGUGUCCCUGGCAAAACACUCUCUUGAGGGCCAGCAGAUGGAAACUUCCAUCUGCACUAGCCACCUCCGAUGGGAAGCCGCUGACAAGGGCACCCCUUCCUCCCCCUCUCACUGUAAGGCAUAUUUCUGGAUGCACCCAAACGCUGUUCUUCCCUGGCUCCUUCCUGACUGCAGCCCCCUCCUCCCUCUCCCUUCUCAGCAUGUCCGUGGUGGGGUUCUCUGGACGUCUGUCCACUCCUUCAAGGAAGUCAUCACACUCGCCUAAGGACUUGGGCUCAGAGAGGCGCUCGACAGUCGUUUGCUGGAUUGUGUUAAUCUUGGUCUUUCAUAAUCUUUCCACCAAGCACCGGCCAGGCUUCCAGAGCUCUUGACCCCAUGAUUUUCUAUCCAAAUUCUGAAUAAGAAGGCCUAAUACGUGGCAUCAGAAAGGGCAGACGGGGGCUCUGCAUGGACCCACCAGGCCUCGGGAUGAAAGAGGAGGAGUGCUGCUGAAGCAAUCAUUUUGGCUCCUGUGGUUUCUGAUCUGCCUUUUGAAUUUGUUUUUCCCUGGAGGUGGGCCCCCAUUAGCCCAGAGGGCAGCCCCCUGCAGCAUACUCCAGUGACUUCCUUUCAAACCCGACACCUGGUGACCUUCAUCGAAACGCCAAGAGAUGGGCUGCCAGCCCACGGCCUGCAGCCUUGGAGGGAAAUUCUGCCACCAAGGAGUGGCCACCUUCCAAGGGAAGACAACGCAGAGCCGUUUGGAUGGCCUGGUGUGGUCAUAGCUCCAUGGGUCCUGUGGGGAGGUGGAUGGUGCCCGACUCUGCCUGGCUGCUUAGACCUGCACAGGCCCUGGCAAUCAUGCAGUGCUCAGGAGCAGGCACUCCCCAAAAGGUCCCCCAGGGCCCUCCUGCGUGGCUGCGUCAGCUCCACAUCACACCCCUGCUGCUAUCUCACUUCACACGAUGCCCACGAAGGGGGCAGUGCCAUAGAAUUUCAUAAACUGAUUCUGGGGCGAGCCAUUGCUCAUGGUUACCUACAGGACAGUCUUCCCACAGUAACUGUCUUCGGCUGCUGAGAUCUGCAGAGCUCUAACCAUUAUCCACAUUCAACACUCAGCAAUGGAUACCCAGGCUCCACAGGGCAACCCUGCACUGGACCCUGAUUUACUGUUUCCCCCCGAGGCGUUUGUGCUGGGGUCUUCUGUCCCUCAGGCAGUGUGCUGGGCACCCCCAUCGAGGCAUUUUCUUUGAAAACUUUGCCACAUGGUCUGAGAGAUCAUCAGCCAGCUGAGACAACUAUCCAAUAUGAAAGG